rnacentral:rRNA from 1 species
UACGUGGGGUGCAAGCGUUAAUCGGAAUUACUGGGCGUAAAGCGUGCGCAGGCGGUGAUGUAAGACAGGUGUGAAAUCCCCGGGCUCAACCUGGGAACUGCAUUUGUGACUGCAUAGCUAGAGUACGGUAGAGGGGGAUGGAAUUCCGCGUGUAGCAGUGAAAUGCGUAGAUAUGCGGAGGAACACCGAUGGCGAAGGCAAUCCCCUGGACCUGUACUGACGCUCAUGCACGAAAGCGUGGGGAGCAAACAGG